rnacentral:rRNA from 1 species
UACGUAGGGGGGCUAGCGUUGUCCGGAUUUAUUGGGCGUAAAGAGCGUGUAGGCGGCCAUGUAGGUCCGGUGUGAAAUCCCGAGGCUCAACCUCGGGUCUGCAGUCGAUACGAGCAAACUAGAGUGUUGCAGGGGGAGACUGGAAUUCCUGGUGUAGCGGUGAAAUGCGCAGAUAUCAGGAGGAACACCGGUGGCGAAGGCGGGUCUCUGGGCAACAACUGACGCUGGAGGAGCGAAAGCCGUGGGGAGCGAACAGG